AGUAGUUAUAUGCUUGUCUCAAAGAUUAAGCCCAUGCAUGUCUAAGUACACACGAAUUAAAAGUGAAACCGCAAAAGGCUCAUUAUAUCAGUUAUGGUUCCUUAGAUCGUUAACAGUUACUUGGAUAACUGUGGUAAUUCUAGAGCUAAUUCAUGCAAUUAAAACACGGACCUUCUGGGACGUGUGCCUUUAUUAGACUAAAACCAAGCGAUCAAUUGAUCGUUAUAAUGGUUGAACUGUAGAUAACAUGCAGAUCCUAUGGUCUUGUACCGACGACAGAUCUUUCAAAUGUCUGCCCUAUCAACUUUUGAUGGUAGUAUCUAGGACUACCAUGGUUGAAACGGGUAAAGGGGAAUCAGGGUUCGAUUCCGGAGAGGGAGCCUGAGAAACGGCUACCACAUCUAAGGAAGGCAGCAGGCGCGUAAAUUACCCACUCCCAGCUCGUGGAGGUAGUGACGAAAAAUAACAAUACAGGACUCAUAUCCGAGGCCCUGUAAUUGGAAUGAGUAAACUUUAAAUCCUUUAACAAGAACCAAUUGGAGGGCAACUCUGGUGCCAGCAGCCGCGGUAAUUCCAGCUCCAAUAGCGUAUAUUAAAGUUGUUGCGGUUAAAACGUUCGUAGUUGAACUUGUGCUUCAUACGGGUAGUACAACAUACAUUUGUAGUUAGUCCUAUACCUUUAUGUAUGUAAGCGUAUUAUCGGUGGAGUUCUUAUAUGUAAUUAAGUACUUGUACUUUUUUAUAUAUUCCUCCUAUUUAAAAACCUACAUUAGUGCUCUUAAUCGAGGGUUUUUGUGGGCUGGUACAAUUACUUUGAACAAAUUAGAGUGCUUAAAGCAGGCUUCAAAUGCCUGAAUAUUCUGUGCAUGGGCUAAUGAAAUAAGACCUCUGUUCUGCUUUUAUUGGUUUUCAGAUCAAGAGGUAAUGAUUAAUAGAAGCAGUUUGGGGGCAUUAGUAUUUCGACGCUAGAGGUGAAAUUCUUGGACCGUCGUAAGACUAACUUAAGCGAAAGGAUAUGCCAAAGAUGUUUUCAUUAAUCAAGAACGAAAGUUAGAGGUUCGAAGGCGAUCAGAUAAAGCCCUAGUUCUAAUCAUAAACGAUGCCAGCUAGCAAUUGGGUGUAGCUACUUUUAUGGCUCUCUCAGUUAUGGUGUUGAAGCUUAUAUUGCCUUCAUUCAUGGUAGCAGUAAAAUGUUUAUUGUGUUUGAAUGGAUGGCUUCUUAAAUGGACAAAUUGCGUCUAGCAAUAAUGAGAUUCAAUAACAGGUCUGUGAUGCCCUUAGAUGUCCUGGGCAGCACGCGCGCUUCAAUGAAAGUAUCAACGUGUGUUUCCUAGACCGAAAAUACACGUAACACGAACCACUUUAAUGCUUGGGAUUGUGAACUGAAACUGUUCACAUGAACUUGGAAUUCCUAGUAAGUGUGAGUCAUUAACUCGCAAUGAUUACGUCCCUGCCCUUUGUGCACACCGCCCGUCGCUACUACCGAUUGAAUUAUUUAGUGAGGUCUCCGGUCGUGAUCACUGUGACGCCUUGCGUGUUACGGUUGUUUCGCAAAAGUUGACCGAACUUGAUUAUUAGUAGG
rnacentral:rRNA from 1 species